GACGAACGCUGGCGGCGUGCUUAACACAUGCAAGUCGAACGGUGAAGCGCCUUCCUUUUUGGUGGGUGUGGAUGAGUGGCGAACGGGUGAGUAACACGUGAGUAACCUGCCCCCUUCUUCUGGAUAACCCCAUGAAAGUGUGGCUAAUACGGGAUAUUCUGGGUCUGUCGCAUGAUGGGUCUGGGAAAGAUAUUGUUUCGGUGGGGGAUGGGCUCGCGGCCUAUCAGCUUGUUGGUGGGGUGAUGGCCUACCAAGGCGGUGACGGGUAGCCGGCCUGAGAGGGUGGACGGUCACACUGGGACUGAGACACGGCCCAGACUCCUACGGGAGGCAGCAGUGGGGAAUAUUGCACAAUGGGCGCAAGCCUGAUGCAGCGACGCCGCGUGAGGGAUGGAGGCCUUCGGGUUGUGAACCUCUUUCGCCAGUGAAGCAGGCCUGCCUCGUUUGUGGGUGGGUUGACGGUAGCUGGAUAAGAAGCGCCGGCUAACUACGUG
rnacentral:rRNA from 1 species